CUUACACAUGCAAGUCGAACGGCAGCACGGGGGCAACCCUGGUGGCGAGUGGCGAACGGGUGAGUGACAUAUCGGAACGUGCCCUGGAGUGGGGGAUAACUAGUCGAAAGAUUAGCUAAUACCGCAUACGAUCUACGGAUGAAAGUGGGGGAUCGCAAGACCUCAUGCUCGUGGAGCGGCCGAUAUCUGAUUAGCUAGUUGGUGGGGUAAGGGCCUACCAAGGCAUCGAUCAGUAGCUGGUCUGAGAGGACGACCAGCCACACUGGGACUGAGUCACGGCCCAGACUCCUACGGGAGGCAGCAGUGGGGAAUUUUGGACAAUGGGCGCAAGCCUGAUCCAGCAAUGCCGCGUGAGUGAAGAAGGCCUUCGGGUUGUAAAGCUCUUUUGUCAGGGAAGAAACGGUUCGGGUUAAUACCUUGGGCUAAUGACGGUACCUGAAGAAUAAGCACCGGCUAACUACGUGCCAGCAGCCGCGGUAAUACGUAGGGUGCAAGCGUUAAUCGGAAUUACUGGGCGUAAAGCGUGCGCAGGCGGUUGUGCAAGACAGAUGUGAAAUCCCCGGGCUCAACCUGGGAAUUGCAUUUGUGACUGUACGGCUAGAGUGUGUCAGAGGGGGGUAGAAUUCCACGUGUAGCAGUGAAAUGCGUAGAGAUGUGGAGGAAUACCGAUGGCGAAGGCAGCCCCCUGGGAUAACACUGACGCUCAUGCACGAAAGCGUGGGGAGCAAACAGGAUUAGAUACCCUGGUAGUCCACGCCCUAAACGAUGUCUACUA
rnacentral:rRNA from 1 species